rnacentral:rRNA from 1 species
UGGCCUACUAGCUAGCUCGCACUCAAAAUGCAAUGACAGAUUAUAAAUAACCCCUAAUACACCUUGAAUUCUCAAGACCAAACCAUUUUUCCCCCCAAGUAUGGGCGACAGAAAAG